CCUACGGGAGGCAGCAGUGGGGAAUCUUGCGCAAUGGGCGAAAGCCUGACGCAGCCAUGCCGCGUGAAUGAUGAAGGUCUUAGGAUUGUAAAAUUCUUUCACCGGGGACGAUAAUGACGGUACCCGGAGAAGAAGCCCCGGCUAACUUCGUGCCAGCAGCCGCGGUAAUACGAAGGGGGCUAGCGUUGCUCGGAAUUACUGGGCGUAAAGGGAGCGUAGGCGGAUAGUUUAGUCAGAGGUGAAAGCCCAGGGCUCAACCUUGGAAUUGCCUUUGAUACUGGCUAUCUUGAGUAUGGGAGAGGUAUGCGGAACUCCGAGUGUAGAGGUGAAAUUCGUAGAUAUUCGGAAGAACACCAGUGGCGAAGGCGGCAUACUGGCCCAUUACUGACGCUGAGGCUCGAAAGCGUGGGGAGCAAACAGGAUUAGAUACCCUGGUAGUCCACGCUGUAAACGAUGAGUGCUAGUUGUCGGCAUGCAUGCAUGUCGGUGACGCGAGCUACGCAUAAGACACUCCGCCGUCGGGUAGGUACGGUCGCGAGAAGUUAAACUACGAAGAAGUAGACGGCGUGAGACGUGCGACGGACGACGACGAGGGAGGAGG
rnacentral:rRNA from 1 species